rnacentral:tRNA from 1 species
CAGAAAGCGGAGAGGCUUAUUGCCUCGCGCCGCUGCCUCCGGCGGGUGUUUUCCCGCACCCGCUGCUUGACGAGUGCGACCCGUCUUGCAGG